GCCACUGCUCGCACCUGCUGCUGGUGCCCGGCGUUGGCCCUGAUCACUUGGCACUGUCAGCGGGUGUGAGCAGCAGCUG
rnacentral:pre_miRNA from 1 species